GACGAACGCUGGCGGCGUGCUUAACACAUGCAAGUCGAACGGUAAGGCCCUUCGGGGUACACGAGUGGCGAACGUGUGAGUAACACGUGGGUGAUCUGCCCUGCACUUCGGGAUAAGCCUGGGAAACUGGGUCUAAUACCGGAUAGGACCACUGCCUGCAUGGGUGGUGGUGGAAAGCUUUUGCGGUGUGGGAUGGGCCCGCGGCCUAUCAGCUUGUUGGUGGGGUGAUGGCCUACCAAGGCGACGACGGGUAGCCGGCCUGAGAGGGUGACCGGCAACACUGGGACUGAGAUACGGCCCAGGCUCCUACGGGAGGCAGCAGUGGGGAAUAUUGCACAAUGGGCGCAAGCCUGAUGCAGCGACGCCGCGUGAGGGAUGACGGCCUUCGGGUUGUAAACCUCUUUCAGCACCGACGAAGCGCAAGUGACGGUAGGUGCAGAAGAAGGACCGGCCAACUACGUGCCAGCAGCCGCCGUAA
rnacentral:rRNA from 1 species